CCUACGGGUGACAGCAGUGGGGAAUAUUGGACAAUGGGGGGAACCCUGAUCCAGCGACGCCGCGUGAGGGAAGAAGUAUUUCGGUAUGUAAAGCUCUAUCAGCAGGGAAGAAAGAAAUGACGGUACCUGACUAAGAAGCCCCGGCUAACUACGUGCCAGCAGCCGCGGUAAUACGGAGGGGGCAAGCGUUAUCCGGAUUUACUGGGUGUAAAGGGAGCGUAGACGGCGAUGCAAGUCUGAAGUGAAAGGCGGGGGCCCAACCCCUGGACUGCUUUGGAAACUGUAUGGCUGGAGUGCAGGAGAGGUAAGUGGAAUUCCUAGUGUAGCGGUGAAAUGCGUAGAUAUUAGGAGGAACACCAGUGGCGAAGGCGGCUUACUGGACUGUAACUGACGUUGAGGCUCGAAAGCGUGGGGAGCAAACAGGAUUAGAUACCCGGGUAGUC
rnacentral:rRNA from 1 species